rnacentral:rRNA from 1 species
CCAGACUCCUACGGGAGGCAGCAGUGGGGGAUAUUGCACAAUGGGGGAAACCCUGAUGCAGCGACGCCGCGUGGGUGAAGAAGCGCCUCGGCGCGUAAAGCCCUGUCAGCAGGGAAGAAAAUGACGGUACCUGAAGAAGAAGCCCCGGCUAACUACGUGCCAGCAGCCGCGGUAAUACGUAGGGGGCAAGCGUUAUCCGGAUUUACUGGGUGUAAAGGGAGCGUAGACGGCAUAGCAAGUCUGAAGUGAAAGCCCGUGGCUCAACCGCGGAACUGCUUUGGAAACUGUUAAGCUGGAGUGCUGGAGAGGCAAGCGGAAUUCCUAGUGUAGCGGUGAAAUGCGUAGAUAUUAGGAGGAACACCAGUGGCGAAGGCGGCUUGCUGGACUGUAACUGACCCUGAGGCACGAAAGCGUGGGGAGCAAACAGGAUUAGAUACCCCGGUAU